CGGAAAAACAAAAGUAAAAGUCUUGCCUCAGACCUGGCUCAGGGCCAGAGAUGUAGAGCUGUUUUGAAAUGUAGAAAAGAAGAGAAGAGAAGGAAUAAAUGUGAAUGCGAUAAAGACAAGAGAGCUCUGUGGACAACAGAUAUACGUGGGUAUACAUUGUACAUGUCAUCUGCAGGUCUAGUUCUUUAUGGAAAUUUGGAAUUGAUUUUCAAACCCUUAAGGGAAGCCCUUUCCUUCUUUUCUAUUCAACUUUCCUUCUAUACUUUAACAAGUAGACUUUUCUGCAUAUUGGAUCAAGCAUUUGAAUAGGUGAAAAGCCACAUAUUUUACUAUCCACUUUUCAGCAAUUUCUCUCCCUGUUUUAUGCAUGCUGCUCAUGGGUUUCAGUAGUAAUAAAGAUUCAUUUUGCAAGAGGGAGCAUCAAAAUUAAGAGACUUGUAAAACCAUUCAGCAUCCAUCAUUCUUCUUAUAAUUAGGCUGAGGGCAAGAUAAAGUGUAUGUAUUUCUGACAUACUUUUUGGUUUCCAUUUUUUUGCAGAUGACAAGGGAGAUUGGGCUCUUCAUUGUCUAAUUUGACAAGCUGAGUAUUGUCAGGCAGAUGUCUUCAUUAACUCUGUGAAGAAAGAGGAAAGAGCAUCAAAGGGGAAAAAGUAGAGAGUGCCUAAAGUUUCCUUUAGGUGCUCUGGAAAGGGGUCAUAUAUCCCCUUGUCAUAUCUAUACAAGUGUAGAUUAUAGUGUUUUUGGUAAAAUGGUAAAUUUGUUCAGUAUGAAAAAUACCUUUGGCAAACAUUUGUUAGGUCCUGACACCCCAUUUGGUCGUCUUGUGAUAUGCAGUGUUAUGACCCACUUCAGGAAGCAGUAACAAUUGAAACAGAUUUUAAUUUUAAGUAUUUAUGUCAUGAAACAUAGCAGAGGGGUCUACUGCAACUCAGUGAAGUUAAUCAAAGAUAGGGAAGACUGAAAAUGAACUGUAUUUAACUUCAAUCUCGUCCAUUUCAAGUUAACGAACCUAAACUAUCCAACUAUGAAUGCUUUGCCAUCUACUAGUUUUCAUUUCCCUUCCUCCAUUCCCAGUUGGCAGAUUAAAAUUGUCUUCCCUCUAUAAUUUUUUAGGUUUGCUUCCUUUGUGUUCUUAAGAUCUUGUCAAAUACCCACCUCUCAGGAUUUACUCUUAUUUUUGAUUCUUUGCUUCUUUUUGAGUGAUUGCAUCUUCACAUUGGUCAUAUUAUAAUUUUUUUUUAAGCAGCAAAGAAUCUCUACAACUUCUGAAGUAACUUUCUUUCUAUAAAAACAACAAGUUUAUCUCAGCAGGAUUGUGUGAGAAAAUGGCAUCACAGAAAGAAACUCAU
rnacentral:lncRNA from 1 species